GGGGAUAACGUAGAGAAAUUUACGCUAAUACCGCAUACGAUCUAAGGAUGAAAGCGGGGGAUUCGCAAGAACCUCGCGCGAUUGGAGCGGCUGAUAUCAGAUUAGGUUGUUGGUGAGGUAAAAGCUCACCAAGCCGACGAUCUGUAGCUGGUUUGAGAGAACGACCAGCCACACUGGGACUGAGACACGGCCCAGACUCCUACGGGAGGCAGCAGUGGGGAAUUUUGGACAAUGGGCGAAAGCCUGAUCCAGCAAUGCCGCGUGUGGGAAGAAGGCCUUCGGGUUGUAAACCACUUUUGUACGGAACGAAAAAGUCUUUUCUAAUAAAGAGGGCUCAUGACGGUACCGUAAGAAUAAGCACCGGCUAACUACGUGCCAGCAGCCGCGGUAAUACGUAGGGUGCGAGCGUUAAUCGGAAUUACUGGGCGUAAAGCGUGCGCAGGCGGUUCUAUAAGACAGAUGUGAAAUCCCCGGGCUCAACCUGGGAAUGGCAUUUGUGACUGUAGAGCUAGAGUACGGUAGAGGGGGAUGGAAUUC
rnacentral:rRNA from 1 species